AGCAGUCGCCGCGGUAAUACGGAGGAUCCAAGCGUUAUCCGGAAUCAUUGGGUUUAAAGGGUCCGUAGGCGGUCUUGUAAGUCAGUGGUGAAAGCCCAUCGCUCAACGGUGGAACGGCCAUUGAUACUGCAGGACUUGAAUUAUUGGGAAGUAACUAGAAUAUGUAGUGUAGCGGUGAAAUGCUUAGAGAUUACAUGGAAUACCAAUUGCGAAGGCAGGUUACUACCAAUUGAUUGACGAUGAUGGACGAAAGCGUGGGUAGCGAACAGGAUUAGAUACCCCCGUAGUCCCUGUCUCUUAUAA
rnacentral:rRNA from 1 species